GGAGAGGUGGCUCAGCAGUUAAGAGCACUGGCUGCUCUUCCAGAGGACCUGGGUUCAAUUCCCAGCCCCCACA
rnacentral:tRNA from 1 species